CCCUACGGGGUGCAGCAGGCGCGAAAUCUUCACAAUGUGCGAAAGCACGAUGAGGGAAUCCCAAGUGCUAGCACGUAAGUGUUAGCUGUUUCUUAGUCCAAAAAACGAGAGAGUAAGGGCUGGGUAAGACGGGUGCCAGCCGCCGCGGUAAUACCUGCAGCUCAAGUGGUGGCCGCUAUUAUUGGGCCUAAAACGUCCGUAGCCUGUUUAGUAAAUGCUUGGGUAAAUUGUGUAGCUUAACUAUACGAAUACCGGGUAGACUGCUAAACUUGACCGGAGAGGCUAGAGGUACUCCUAGGGUAGAGGUGAAAUUCUGUAAUCCAGGGGGACCACCAGGGCGAAGGCGUCUAACUAAAACUUUCUACGUGAGGGACGAAGCCCUGGGGCGCGAACCGGAUUAGAUACCCGGGUAGUCCAGGGUGUAAACGCUGCUUGCUUGAUGUUAGUUGGGCUCCGAGCCCAACUAAUCAGAGAGAAGUUGUUAAGCAAGCUGCCUGGGAAGUACGGUCGCAAGACUGAAACUUAAAGGAAUUGGCGGGGGAGCAA
rnacentral:rRNA from 1 species